GUUUUUCUUCAGUGUGCACUAUCAAAUGACUUUCCAAAUGGCUUUUCUGAGAAAAUUGCUUGAAACAAAUCUCACACUUGUAAGGUUUUUCUCCAGUGUGCACUCUCAAAUGUCUUUUCAAAUCACUUGUAGCAGUAAACUUCUUAAAACAAAUUUCACACGUAUGAGGUUUUUCUCCAGUGUGCACUCUCAAAUGUCUUUUCAAAUCACUUGUAGCAGUAAACUUCUUAAAACAAAUUUCACACGUAUGAGGUUUUUCUCCAGUGUGCACUCUCAAAUGUCUUUUCAAAUCACUUGUAGCAGUAAACUUCUUAAAACAAAUUUCACACGUAUGAGGUUUUUCUCCAGUGUGCACUCUCAAAUGUCUUUUCAAAUCACUUGUAGCAGUAAACUUC